rnacentral:rRNA from 1 species
AGUGAACGCUGGCGGUAGGCCUAACACAUGCAAGUCGAACGGCAGCACCGUAAGAGCUUGCUCUUACGGGUGGCGAGUGGCGGACGGGUGAGGAAUACAUCGGAAUCUACUUUUUCGUGGGGGAUAACGUAGGGAAACUUACGCUAAUACCGCAUACGACCUACGGGUGAAAGCAGGGGAUCUUCGGACCUUGCGCGAUUGAAUGAGCCGAUGUCGGAUUAGCUAGUUGGCGGGGUAAAGGCCCACCAAGGCGACGAUCCGUAGCUGGUCUGAGAGGGUGAUCAGCCACACUGGAACUGAGACACGGUCCAGACUCCGACGGGAGGCAGCAGUGGGGAAUAGUGGACAAUGGGCGCAAGCCUGAUCCAGCCGUACCGCGUGGGUGAAGAAGGCCUUCGGGUUGUAAAGCCCUUUUGUUGGGAAAGAAAAGCAGCAGGUUAAUACCCCGCUGUUCUGACGGUACCCAAAGAAGAAGCACCGGCUAACUUCGUG